AUUGAACGCUGGCGGAAUGCUUUACACAUGCAAGUCGAACGGCAGCACGGGGGCAGCCCUGGUGGCGAGUGGCGAACGGGUGAGUAAUACAUCGGAACGUGCCCGGUCGUGGGGGAUAACGUAGCGAAAGUUACGCUAAUACCGCAUACGAUCUGAGGAUGAAAGCGGGGGACCUUCGGGCCUCGCGCGAUCGGAGCGGCCGAUGUCAGAUUAGGUAGUUGGUGGGGUAAAGGCCUACCAAGCCGACGAUCUGUAGCUGGUCUGAGAGGACGACCAGCCACACUGGGACUGAGACACGGCCCAGACUCCUACGGGAGGCAGCAGUGGGGAAUUUUGGGCAAUGGGCGCAAGCCUGAUCCAGCCAUUCCGCGUGCAGGACGAAGGCCUUCGGGUUGUAAACUGCUUUUGUACGGAACGAAAAGGCUCUGGCUAAUACCUGGGGCUCAUGACGGUACCGUAAGAAUAAGCACCGGCUAACUACGUG
rnacentral:rRNA from 1 species